AUGUUUUCGUGGUAGGAGAGAGAGACGCUGUUGGUCCUGAUGAAGUGGUUUUCUCGGGGGAGGGUUUUUACUUUGUGUUUGGGAUGGGUUUGCUCCUGCGAUUUCCCCAAAUGUGAGAAAACUCGGCUGCAUAACUUGUGGUAGUGGGGGACUGCUUUUGCGCUUUCCUGUG
ensembl:snRNA U1 U1 spliceosomal RNA